rnacentral:lncRNA from 1 species
UAAAUGGAGGAACCAAGGAAAGAACUGAUAUCAGUAAUGGACCAUUUACAAAAGCUAAGGCAGAUAAAGAUGAAAGCACGACUGCCGGCGGAACAACAAUACAACCAUCAACCAGAUUUACAUUAUCGAGAACUUACGACAGUGGCCAACGAAUUACAAAGUAUGGUUCAGAUGAGAGAAAUAAUAAGGAUUUGAUUAUAAUUGUGCUUGCGGCUUUGUUGGCUAUUGCUAUUGCAGUUGUAGUUCUGCUAUUAUUACAUAAGUUUCGUGAUCGAUUAUUUUACAAGUCAAAGAUCAAAAGGAAACAGGAACUUACGAGUGAUUUAGUUGAGGUUAUACCCUGUGAUAUAUACAGUAUCAGUUUGGAUAAUGGUCGGCCUCUUUGUGCUGAAAACACACAGGGACUAAGAAGACAUCCACGUACUAUUGAAGUUCAAGUUGAAUGUAAUAAUAAGCCAUUAUACGUGAAUCAUAACAUAAAUGGGCAUGCCAAAAAGCGUCCAAAUGAUAACGAAUGUAAAAAAAAAUCAGAUUACGAACAAUUUCAAGAAGAGGAAAUGGUACAAGUAUAUGCUGAGAUUACAGGAGACAGUGAACGAAAAGUGGAAUUCAAAUAAAACAUUUAAUAUUUAAAGAAACAUUACAAUUUUCACUGAUUUACAGACCUUCAAUACCAAAUCCUUAAGUUAAUCACCAGCA